rnacentral:tRNA from 1 species
GGGCGCAUAGCUCAGUUGGUUAGAGCACUGCCCUUACAAGGCAUAGGUCGGGGGUUCGAGUCCCUCUGCGCCCA